AGCAUUAACAGCAAGUCUGAGGAACAGAUACAGAGGAGCUGCCAAGAAGCGAGACACAGUGAUGCACAGGCUGAUGCCCUGCUGAAAUAAUGCCUUCGUUUCCUUCAAUCUGAUCUCAUCGCCAGUCUAACGUGUUGUUGCCAGUUGUUCCACAUCUUGCUUUUCUACUCAAAGAAACCGCAUUUUGUGGCCUCGACCACCAAGAAUCCCUUAGGCUGCCCUCACCGCAUGCAGCCCUCGGUGAAGCAGGCUUCACCUCCAAGCAAAGAGAAUCAAAAAGACAGGAAAAGGUGAAAACCAAGAAAGAUGUACCAAGCUUGGGAAGGAAACUGGUACGUAUGUGGGAAGUACAACUGGAUAUCUUCGUGACCCACUGAUAUUUUAUCCAUUUUAUUUGUUUGUUUUGGAGCAUGAUGAAGGAAGCAUCUCACUUGAAGAGAAUGAUUUUAUCUGAGAUCAUAACAAUAUAUACAUCUGUUUAUAAUGCAUUAAAUGCAAAAAUACCUGAAAUGA